rnacentral:rRNA from 1 species
GAUGAACGCUGGCGGCGUGCCUAAUACAUGCAAGUCGAGCGAACGGACGAGAAGCUUGCUUUUCUGAUGUUAGCGGCGGACGGGUGAGUAACACGUGUAUAACCUACCUAUAAGACUGGGAUAACUUCGGGAAACCGGAGCUAAUACCGGAUAAUAUUUUGAACCGCAUGGUUCAAAAGUGAAAGACGGUCUUGCUGUCACUUAUAGAUGGAUCCGCGCUGCAUUAGCUAGUUGGUAAGGUAACGGCUUACCAAGGCAACGAUGCAUAGCCGACCUGAGAGGGUGAUCAGCCACACUGGAACUGAGACACGGUCCAGACUCCUACGGGAGGCAGCAGUAGGGAAUCUUCCGCAAUGGGCGAAAGCCUGACGGAGCAACGCCGCGUGAGUGAUGAAGGUCUUCGGAUCGUAAAACUCUGUUAUUAGGGAAGAACAUAUGUGUAAGUAACUGUGCACAUCUUGACGGUACCUAAUCAGAAAGCCACGGCUAACUACGUG